ensembl:lncRNA
GUAGGUUCUUUACGGAUGAGCCACCAGGGAAGCCAACAGAGAGGGCUUCAGAGUCUCCUGAAGGGCUUACUGAAAGCCAGACUGCUGGAUCCCACCCCCAAGAAUUCCUAAUCUGGUAGGUCUAGGUUGGAAUCUCCAGAAGUUGCAUUUCUAACAAGAUCCCAGGUGAUGGUGCUGCUGCUACCUUGGAGAACUCUCUUUGAGAAACUCUGAUCUAUUCCACCUGCCCAGGUCUGAGAGGGAGGUUUUACGAAAUACCAAAGGUGUUAUGACUACUCUAUGGUGCCAAAGAGACCGUAGAAGGAAAACAGACUCCGAGUUGAAUCCUAAUUUUGCCACUUCCUGCCUGAAAACUCUGUGCAAAUUAUUUAACUGUCUGUACCUGGUUUUCCUGUUGGUAAAAUAUGGAUGAUAAUACCUGCCUCACAAGAUUCUGUCCGUAAAACACUUGGCCUAAAGUAACAUACAGGAGAUAGCAUUUCUGAUGGUGACCUUUCUCAUAAAUAGUUUAUAAAUUUCUCACCACUCUUCUCAGUCCUGGCUGCAUAUUAGAGUCAUCUGGGGACCUCCUGAGGCCCAAACACCAUCCCCAGAGGUGUUGAUAUAGUAGCUGGGAUGACACCGUGGGAAAAGGAAAGGCUUCAACUCUUCUCCGAAGGUUACGCCAGUUAGGUUGGAAAGCCUGCUAGCUGAUUUCUUUAAACUCCUCCUCAUUUUUAGGUUUACAUACUACUGGCAGCAAAGACUCACUAUGUUUGAGCCUCAUAACUGGAGGAUAAGGCGACCAAAAAGCAUGCUGCAAAAACAUUUUUACAUUCGCUACCGGGAUUCCCUCAUCCUCACCAGCCUGGGAUUCGUGACUUUGGCUCUGGGAAUUGCUAUCACAAUCGGAGCUUUUAACAACGUGGUUGUCCUCCUUGGGAUGACGCUUGAUUUUCUGGGUGUCCUUCUUGGUAUUUUGGGGGGUAUAAACAUGUACACCACCUACUCGUGCUUCCAGAGCUCCUUAGAAGCACGAGGGGCAGCUGAGAACAUUCACCUCAUGUGGUGUCAGGUUCUACAUCAAGAGCCUGAACUCUUGGCCAGCAUCUGCUUAUAACCUCAUAUUUAAUCUGAAUAUCUCUAGGACUCCAAUUUUGUUUUAUGCAGCAUUUUCAAACUUGAAAUAAAAUUCUGAAAGCUACUGUGAAAGAGAUUUUCAAUGUCCCUUUUUUUUUUUCUCUUAACUUGGCCACACCAACGCACUGGAUUUGCUAUAGAAGUUCAUGACUGUUGACUUCUGAUCUCUGGUGAAAGAAGGGAAUGUUGGAGUACAGGUGAUGACGCUGAACCUUGCCAUAUAGAAGAGAUACCUACACGGACUUCUCUUGUAGAAUCCAGUCUUUCCACUCAUCCACAGAGACUUGUGAAAUCUGUUUUGGGCCCCUGAAUCUCGGCCUCAAACUGCCCAGUUCUCCAGAGAUAGACCUGGAGUUUGUACUAUGAUCUGUUAGGCUCCAGCCUCAGUUCUCAUGUGGAUCCAAUGAUUUGGAAUGGAAAUAUAGUGCCAGUAACCCAUGUUCCUGUCUGAGCUACCAGGGAAGCUUAAGAGGCAGUAAAGAAUUACCAAACAUCUGAAGAAAGCUCUAUGAUGAAUGAGUCACCCAAGCAAGAAGACAAAAAAGGAACUAGGAAAGAAUAAAACAAUGCAGGGUGCCUUCCCAUUCCCAACAGAAGAAUAAUUUCCUGCCUAAGAAAAGCCAUACUCAGGAAAAUUAUCAAUCAAAGGUGAGGUUAGGAUAGAGAUAUUUUCAGACACACAAGGUCAGAAACAUUGGCUUGACAUGUACUCUUUCUCAAGAAGCCUAACAGGAGCUUGCCUGGUGAUCCAGUGGUUAAGAUUCUGAGCUUCCAACGCAGGGUGUUGUGGGUUUGAUCCCUGGUCAGGGAACUAAGAUCCCACAUGCCGUGCGGCCACACACACACACACACACAUACACAUGCAUGCAUGCACGCACACCUUACAGAAACAAAUUCUUAAACCAAGAAAGUGAAAGCUUUUUAUAGAGACAUAAGAGUUAGGGGAGAUUACAGCUCUCUUGAAUCAAACCAAGAACUAGAACCCGAGCUUUCUGGUUCUCAGUCCAGUGGUGAUUUUACUAUGUUACACUG